rnacentral:rRNA from 1 species
GACGAACGUUGGCGGCGUGCUUAACACAUGCGAGUCGAACGGAAAGGCCCUGCUUUUGUGGGGUGCUCGAGUGGCGAACGGGUGAGUAACACGUGAGUAACCUGCCCUUGACUUUGGGAUAACUUCAGGAAACUGGGGCUAAUACCGGAUAGGAGCUCCUGCUGCAUGGUGGGGGUUGGAAAGUUUCGGCGGUUGGGGAUGGACUCGCGGCUUAUCAGCUUGUUGGUGGGGUAGUGGCUUACCAAGGCUUUGACGGGUAGCCGGCCUGAGAGGGUGACCGGCCACAUUGGGACUGAGAUACGGCCCAGACUCCUACGGGAGGCAGCAGUGGGGAAUAUUGCACAAUGGGCGGAAGCCUGAUGCAGCAACGCCGCGUGCGGGAUGACGGCCUUCGGGUUGUAAACCGCUUUCGCCUGUGACGAAGCGUGAGUGACGGUAAUGGGUAAAGAAGCACCGGCUAACUACGUG